CAGCGCUGGCGUGGCGCCGAUGACGACCACAAGCAUGAACAACGCCGAGGCCCUUCACCAAGGAUAUGGCGAUGGAGAGGAAGGGCCGAUACGAAAUCAGUGUUUAGAGUGGUGGAUCUGCAUUUGUGCGCAGCCAUGAGUUAGUUGUCUGAGUUUGGAAUUUUGAGAUAUUCUUGGAUCACGUGUAGCAACGUGAACUCUCGUCAUUCUAAUUCACGGAUUUCUGAAUUA